GAGUUUGAUCCUGGCUCAGAGCGAACGUUAGCGGCGGGCCUAACACAUGCAAGUCGAACGAGAAUGAGGGGGCAACUCCUCUAGUAAAGUGGCGGACGGGUGCGUAACACGUGGGUAAUCUACCUUCCGGCGGGGGACAACAGUCCGAAAGGAUUGCUAAUACCGCAUACGUCAGCGAGAUCUACGGAUCUUGUUGGGAAAGAUGGCCUCUCCUUGGAAGCUGUCACCGGAAGAUGAGCCCGCGGCCCAUCAGCUAGUUGGUGAGGUAACGGCUCACCAAGGCGAAGACGGGUAGCUGGUCUGAGAGGAUGAUCAGCCACACUGGGACUGCGACACGGCCCAGACUCCUACGGGAGGCAGCAGUGGGGAAUAUUGGGCAAUGGGCGAAAGCCUGACCCAGCCACGCCGCGUGAGUGAUGAAGGCCUU
rnacentral:rRNA from 1 species